CUACGGGGCGCUCCAGUAGGGAAUCUUCGGCAAUGGGCGGAAGUCUGACCGAGCAACGCCGCGUGAGUGAAGAAGGUUUUCGGAUCGUAAAGCUCUGUUGUAAGAGAAGAACGAGUGUGAGAGUGGAAAGUUCACACUGUGACGGUAUCUUACCAGAAAGGGACGGCUAACUACGUGCCAGUAGCCGCGGUAAUACGUAGGUCCCGAGCGUUGUCCGGAUUUAUUGGGCGUAAAGCGAGCGCAGGCGGUUAGAUAAGUCUGAAGUUAAAGGCUGUGGCUUAACCAUAGUACGCUUUGGAAACUGUCUAACUUGAGUGCAGAAGGGGAGAGUGGAAUUCCAUGUGUAGCGGUGAAAUGCGUAGAUAUAUGGAGGAACACCGGUGGCGAAAGCGGCCCUCUGGUCUGUAACUGACGCUGAGGCUCGAAAGCGUGGGGAGCAAACAGGAUUAGAUACCCUCGUAGUC
rnacentral:rRNA from 1 species